UACGAAGGGGGCUAGCGUUGCUCGGAAUCACUGGGCUUAAAGGGCGCGUAGGCGGGCGACCAAGUCAGGGGUGAAAUCCUCCGGCUCAACCGGAGAACAGCCUUUGAUACUGGUCACCUCGAGGGAGGUAGGGGCAUGUGGAACUUCCGGUGGAGCGGUGAAAUGCGUAGAUAUCGAUAGGAACUCCGGUGGCGAAGGCGGCAUACUGGUCCACUUCUGACGCUGAGGCGCGAAAGCCAGGGGAGCAAACGGG
rnacentral:rRNA from 1 species